GCCCGGCUAGCUCAAUCGGUAGAGCGUGAGACUCUUAUGAGGUACACGUUCUGUAUUACAAUCUCAAGGUUGCGGGUUCGACCCCCGCGUUGGGCU
rfam:Trichoderma atroviride IMI 206040 TRIATcontig_27, whole genome shotgun sequence.